CGUACUCAGUUCGGAUUGUAGUCUGCAACUCGACUACAUGAAGCUGGAAUCGCUAGUAAUCGCGAAUCAGCAUGUCGCGGUGAAUACGUUCCCGGGUCUUGUACACACCGCCCGUCACACCAUGAGAGUUGGAGAUACCCGAAGCCUGUGAGCCAACUAUAUAGAGGCAGCAGUCGAAGGUAGAAUCAAUGAUUGGGGUGAAGUCGUAACAAGGUAUC
rnacentral:rRNA from 1 species